CUCAGGCAUUAGUUGCCUUUUUUACACUUCUGGGUGAUCUAGCGCUUUUCUAUCUCUGAGAGGAUUCCGGGAGGCAGAGGAAGCGUGUGCAAGCCAUUGUACACCGAUUAAAGCAACGAAGGAAUGUGGAAAACAUCGAGGCGAAUGCGGAAGAAGGCAAGAACACCAGCGAGGCCAAUGAGCAGAAAGAUGCAGAGGGUCAAGAGUUGAGGACAGCAUUAAACUAUUCAGCAGGCCUCGUAAAAAAACACUGCGCUGUGAGAAGGAUGUGGGAACCACUCACAGAAUCUUUCCUCCAAGACAACCACUUGAAACAAAAAGUGGUCGCCGAGGAUCUGGCAGAGUAUGGUACCAAAGAAAAAGAUUCUGACUACCUUAAGAAGACCACCAUCUGAGUAGACAUUUGGAUUUUAAAACAGAAUGAAAAAUCAUGGAAAAAUAUUGCAGUUAAGUUCUGUCUCUGCUGGUGGUGGUGGAGCUGAUGGUGGACCUGAGGAGGGCUAAGGCACCAGUGACCCCUGUUUCCAUCUAAAGGGUCAGUGUGGACAUGGUGGAGGAUUACAAAUACCUGGGGAUGUGAAUUGACAAUAAACCGGACUGGUCAAAGAACAAUGAGGCUGUCUACAAGAAGGGUCAGAGCCAUCUCUACUUCCUGAGGAGACUGAGGUCCUUUAACAUCUGCUGGAUGAUGCUGAGGAUGUUCUACGAGUCUGUGGUGGCCAGUGCUAACAUGUUUGCUGUUGUGUGCUGGGGCAGCAGGCUGAGGGUAGCGGACACCAACAGAAUCAACAAACUCAUUCAUAAGGCCAGUGAUGUUGUGGGUGUAGAACUGGACUCUCUGACGGUGGUGUCUGAAAAGAGGAUGCUGUCCAAGUUGCAUGCCAUCUUGGACAAUGUCUCCUAUCCACUCCAUAAUGUACUGGUUAGGCACAGGAGUACGUUCAGCCAGAGACUCAUUCCACUGAGAUGCAACACUGAGCGUCAUAGGAAGUCAUUCCUGCCUGUGGCCAUCAAACUUUACAACUCCUCCCUCGGAGUGUCAGACACCCUGAGCUAAUAGGCUGGUCUGGACUUAUUUCCACUUGGAAUAAGUUACUUAUUAUUAUUUAUGGUUUUAUAUUGCUAUAUUUCUACACUAUUCUUGGUUGGUGCGACUGUAACAAAUCCCAAUUUCCCUCGGGAUCAAUAAAUAUGUCCGUCUGUAAAGCACAUAUUACUCCAUGAAUUAUCAUCUGUUCCACAUUUUCAAAUACUUGCCCGAGAUCAACCAUUUGAUUUUUUUUUAAAACGGGAACAUUGACUUAUAUUUGAAGAGAUAAACUAAAUUCAUUUCACAUCAUUAUAUAUUCAGUAUGGCAAUGUUUUUCUUUGUUUGGUUUUGAUGAGUCAUCAUUCCUCUGGCGAAUUUGCUCCGUGUUGCUGCCACAUUAGAUACUGCUGGUUGAAAAACUAACUUUUACAGUGUAUUAACCUUUAUGUUGCAAAAAGGUCAGUACGCUGAUAUUUCAACCAACCAAUUAAAACUGUUAUACAAGGGCAUAAGUUACUAGCAGAGCAAUGUCUAUAUUAACAAUAGGUGUUGCACCAGGUGACAAAGAUAAAUUUGAGGAGAUAUAGUUUUGAAUAUAUAUUUGUCACUUUGAAGUACAUUAUCCCUAUUACAUAAUGCACUAUAUUGCUCAAGAUAUUUUUCUAAAAAGAAAUCAAUGAUUCCAGAGUAAUACUUUAUUCAUUACCAUGAGCUGAAGAUAUAAAAGAUCUUUAAGCCUUCAUAGAGGAAUAUAUCUUCACGAAAUUGUUAAAAGGCAGUGACAAUGAAAAUGUGCUACAGAAUUAAGCAACGAUUUUUGUUGCUCAGUCUCUGCACCCACCGUCUUCAAAGGGCCUGAAUGAACCAUACAGUCAUAAGUGUUCCCUCAAAAAUAACACACCUCAUCAUGUCAACUGAAGAAUGAAUCAAUUAUUGACUGAACUGGGAUCAAACUAAAUAUGAAUUUCUCAGAUAAUUAAAAUAGCAGAGUAAAUUUUCACAGGGUAAUUUUUAAUGUAGAAAUCAUUAUUUUUAGACUGUUGACAUUAUUGAUAUCCUGUAUAAAGAUUACAAUUGGAAACAAAACAGAAAACCUAAACAUGGCACAGAAGGAAGAUCUAAUGUAAUUUUUGUCCUAAUGAUUUUCAUUUUACUUACUCAUGACAAGAGAUGAUUUUGAUAAUGGUUGAUAGUGUAAAAUGAGCAAUAUUGAUUCAACUGUCCAUUAUAUCUCUCUCCUGACUUUCAUUUCCAUUAACUUCAUCUGGAGUUUGACAGGAAAGAAGAAAUUCAUAAAUAUAUUGGCCAGAAUCAAUUGAAAAUGCCAGCAUUUCUUAUAAAACACAUAUACUAUUUAUGUUUUUAUUGAAUGGAAAUUCUGCAGCUUCUUCCAUUCAUGCCAGUUAAAGAGCUAUGGCUGUUACUUAUCAGUACACUCCUGAGCUAUAACACAGAUGUGGAUCAACCCACUCCCUUUGAUUAGUUGGAACCCUUCACAACAUGAAGUUCCCUUAGAAAAUGGCAAGUAGGAGAUCAAGGUGAAAUGCUUCAAAGUGUUGAAUUUUACAACACAAAAGGCCAAUGUUUCACUCUGCCAAGAGCAUCAAGUUAACAUAACUAACUCUGAUCACUUAGAAUUGUAGAGUCAUAGAGCACAAAAAUAGGCCCUUCGGCCCACCAUGUGCUUGCUGUUCCUUUUGCAUAUCUACAGAUCCCAUUUGCUUCUACUUCUGCCUGUUCAAGUGCCACUCUCUUAAAUAUAGUGAUUGUAUCUAUUUCCAUCAUUUAUUCUGGCAGCAAAUUCCGGAUACAUUAACACUGUGAAAAUAAAAGUUACUUCUCAACACCCUUUUACAACUUAUUUUUCUCACCUUAAACGUAGCCAAUAUCCUGUUUGCCAUGCAAUCAAAGUUGUUUAUGUCAAAAAGUAAAUUAAAAAAUGGGGCUUGCACAAUUCCCAAAGGGACCUCAAGCAUUUUUGUACCUCUCAAAUUCCCGUUUUUGUACUUUAUCAUGCACCAGUCUGAGAUCUUAUGAAAUGGUAGAGCAGUGAUCAGACACAGAUUAUAUUGAAUAGAUAAUAGAACACUACAGCACAGUACAGUCCCUUCAGCCAUGGUGUUAACCCUUUCUUCCACCAUAGCCCUCUAUUUUUCUAUCAUCCACAGAGUUGUCCCUCAUAUCUGUCUCUACCACCACUCCGGUAUGGUGUUCCAUGCACCCACCACACUCUGUGUAAAGAACUUCUCUCAGAUAUCUCUCCUACACUUCCUGCCAAUCACCUUAAAAUUAUACUCCCACAAAUUAGCCAUUGCCACCCUGGGAAAUGGUUUCUGGCUAUCCACUCGACUUGUGCCUCUUAUCAUCAUGCACACCUCUAUCAAGUCAGCUCACAUCCUUCGCUCCAAAGAGAAAAGCCCUAGUUUACUCAAACUAUCCUCAUAAAAUCCAGGCAGGAUCCUGUUAAAUCUCCUCUGCACUCUCCCUAAAGCUUCUCUCAUAUAAAGAGGAAAGCAGAACUAAACACAAUAUUACAAAUGUGGUUGAAUCAGAAUUUCAAGGAGCUGCAACAUUUCCUUGCAGCUCUGGAACGCAAAUUCCUGACUGAUGGCCAACACACCAUCUGCCUUCUUAGCAACUCUAUCAACGUUUGCCAUCCUGAUUCCGCUCCUAGUUCAUAUUUGCAUGUACAUUUUGGACAUGAGACAGGACAGAAAGACAAUUUCCCCCAGAUUCUCAGAGACAUGCAAAUCCUGGUCAAUGAGUAAAAUGCCAUGAGGAAGGCAUGGUUUGCCAGCAGUGGGAGAUAAACCAGAUACAUAUCAAAAACACAUGACAAGUAGUGACACUACUGGUUUGCUCCUCAAGUGGGAAUCCUUACAUAAUAGAGUGAUGCUGAAAGAAAGCUCAUGAUCUCACAAGAUGAUCUGCUAAAUGGUUGCUCUGAAGAGUGGAAAUCCUCACAGAGAAACACAUUUACAUGGAAGUCUGAAUUCUUUAAGCAUUCUCCAAUCAUAAGGAAACUAUUAAAGUAAUUGGACAGAUCUGAGGGGACUUUGUGCAUUAUUGGGCUUUGGCUAACUGCUUAACUGUGCACCAUAUUGGCGUUGUAUGGAAAGAAUUACUUGGUUUGUACUAAGCAUUAUU